rnacentral:rRNA from 1 species
GACGAACGCUGGCGGCGUGCUUAACACAUGCAAGUCGAACGAUGAAGCUAGAGCUUGCUCCAGUUGAUUAGUGGCGAACGGGUGAGUAACACGUGAGCAAUCUGCCCUUGACUCUGGGAUAACUGCGGGAAACUGUAGCUAAUACCGGAUACUUUCACCGGAAGGCAUCUUCUGGUGAUGAAAGAAUUUCGGUCAGGGAUGAGCUCGCGGCCUAUCAGCUGGUUGGUGAGGUAACGGCUCACCAAGGCGACGACGGGUAGCCGGCCUGAGAGGGUGACCGGCCACACUGGGACUGAGACACGGCCCAGACUCCUACGGGAGGCAGCAGUGGGGAAUAUUGCACAAUGGGCGCAAGCCUGAUGCAGCAACGCCGCGUGAGGGAUGAAGGCCUUCGGGUUGUAAACCUCUUUUAGCAGGGAAGAAGCGAAAGUGACGGUACCUGCAGAAAAAGCACCGGCUAACUACGUGCCAGCAGCCGCAGUAA